UCGGAUGCAGGCUGNAACCCGCCUGUAUGAAGUUGGAAUCGCUAGUAAUCGCGGAUCAGCAUGCCGCGGUGAAUACGUUCCCGGGCCUUGUACACACCGCCCGUCACACCAUGAGAGUCGGGAACACCCGAAGUCCGUAGCCUAACCGCAAGGGGGGCGCGGCCGAAGGUGGGUUCGAUAAUUGGGGUGAAGUCGUAACAAGGUAAC
rnacentral:rRNA from 1 species